AUUGAACGCUGGCGGCAGGCCUAACACAUGCAAGUCGAACGAGUGGCGGACGGGUGAGUAAUGUCUGGGAAACUGCCUGAUGGAGGGGGAUAACUACUGGAAACGGUAGCUAAUACCGCAUACCAUCGGAUGUUCCCAGAUGGGAGUAGCUAGUAGGUGGGGUAAAGGCUCACCUAGGCGACGAUCCCUAGCUGGUCUGAGAGUAUGACCAUCAACACGGGAACUGAGACACGGUCCAGACUCCUACGGUAGGCAGCAGUGGGGAAUAUGGCACAAUGGGAGCAAGCCUGAUGCAGACAUGCCGCGUGUAUGAAGAAGGCCGUCGGGUUGUAAAGUACUUUCAGCGGGGAGGCGUUACCCGCAGAAGAAGCACCGGCUAACUCCGUGCCAGCAGCCGCGGUAAUAC
rnacentral:rRNA from 1 species